rnacentral:rRNA from 1 species
GAUGAACGCUGGCGGCGUGCUUAACACAUGCAAGUCGAACGAAGCAAUUUUCUACGAUCCCUUCGGGGUGACGGAUUAUUGACUGAGUGGCGGACGGGUGAGUAACGCGUGGGUAACCUACCUUGUACAGGGGGACAACAGUUGGAAACGACUGCUAAUACCGCAUAAGCGCACAGCAUCGCAUGAUGCAGUGUGAAAAGUUUUUUCGGUACAAGAUGGACCCGCGUCUGAUUAGCUAGUUGGUGAGGUAACGGCCCACCAAGGCGACGAUCAGUAGCCGACCUGAGAGGGUGACCGGCCACAUUGGGACUGAGACACGGCCCAAACUCCUACGGGAGGCAGCAGUGGGGAAUAUUGCACAAUGGGCGAAAGCCUGAUGCAGCGACGCCGCGUGAGCGAAGAAGUAUUUCGGUAUGUAAAGCUUCUAUCAGCAGGGAAGAUAAUGACGGAAC